UACAGAGGUCUCAAGCGUUGUUCGGAUUCAUUGGGCGUAAAGGGUGCGUAGGCGGCGCGGUAAGUCGGGUGUGAAAUCUUGGAGCUUAACUCCGAAACUGCAUUCGAUACUGCCGUGCUUGAGGACUGGAGAGGAGACUGGAAUUUACGGUGUAGCGGUGAAAUGCGUAGAUAAUCGUAAGGAAGACCAGUGGCGAAAGGCGGGGUCUCUGGACAGUUCCUGACGUGAGGCACGAAGGCCAGGGGGAGCAAACGGG
rnacentral:rRNA from 1 species